rnacentral:rRNA from 1 species
ACUACAUAUCAAUAAGCGGAGGAAAAGAAACCAACAGGGAUUGCCCUAGUAACGGCGAGUGAAGCGGCAACAGCUCAAAUUUGAAAUCUGGCUCUUUUAGAGUCCGAGUUGUAAUUUGCAGAGGGCGCUUUGGCUUUGGCAGCGGUCCAAGUUCCUUGGAACAGGACGUCACAGAGGGUGAGAAUCCCGUACGUGGUCGCUGGCUAUUGCCGUGUAAAGCCCCUUCGACGAGUCGAGUUGUUUGGGAAUGCAGCUCUAAAUGGGAGGUACAUUUCUUCUAAAGCUAAAUAUUGGCCAGAGACCGAUAGCGCACAAGUAGAGUGAUCGAAAGAUGAAAAGCACUUUGGAAAGAGAGUCAAACAGCACGUGAAAUUGUUGAAAGGGAAGCGCUUGCAGCCAGACUUGCUUACAGUUGCUCAUCCGGGUUUCUACCCGGUGCACUCUUCUGUAGGCAGGCCAGCAUCAGUUUGGGCGGUAGGAUAAAGGUCUCUGUCACGUACCUCCUUUCGGGGAGGCCUUAUAGGGGAGACGACAUACUACCAGCCUGGACUGAGGUCCGCGCAUCUGCUAGGAUGCUGGCGUAAUGGCUGUAAGCGGCCCGUCUUGAAACACGGACCAAGGAGUCUAACAUCUAUGCGAGUGUUUGGGUGUCAAGCCCGAGCGCGUAAUGAAAGUGAACGGAGGUGGGAACCCGCAAGGGUGCACCAUCGACCGAUCCUGAUGUCUUCGGAAGGAUUUGAGUAAGAGCAUGGCUGUUGGGACCCGAAAGAUGGUGAACUAUGCUUGAAUAGGGUGAAGCCAGAGGAAACUCUGGUGGAGGCUCGCAGCGGUUCUGACGUGCAAAUCGAUCGUCAAAUUUGGGCAUAGGGGCGAAAGACUAAUCGAACUAUCUAGUAGCUGGUCUGCGG